AGAGUUUGAUCAUGGCUCAGGACGAACGCUGGCGGCGUGCCUAAUACAUGCAAGUCGAGCGGGUUUACCCUUCGGGGUAAGCUAGCGGCGGACGGGUGAGUAACACGUAGGUAACCUGCCUUUAAGACUGGGAUAACUAUCGGAAACGAUAGCUAAGACCGGAUAACUGGUUUUCUCGCAUGAGAGAAUUAUGAAACACGGAGCAAUCUGUGGCUUAAAGAUGGGCCUGCGGCGCAUUAGCUAGUUGGUGAGGUAACGGCUCACCAAGGCGACGAUGCGUAGCCGACCUGAGAGGGUGAACGGCCACACUGGGACUGAGACACGGCCCAGACUCCUACGGGAGGCAGCAGUAGGGAAUCUUCCGCAAUGGACGCAAGUCUGACGGAGCAACGCCGCGUGAGUGAUGAAGGUUUUCGGAUCGUAAAGCUCUGUUGCCCUAGACGAACAGCAUGAGGAGUAACUGCCUUGUGUGUGACGGUAUAGGAGAAGAAAGCCCCGGCUAACUACGUGCCAGCAGCCGCGGUA
rnacentral:rRNA from 1 species